UAGCUUUUCCCGAGAUUACCCUCAGCUGUGAUGUACUUGAUCAAUCGUUAAUGAGUUUUUGAAGAUGCAAGGGACUGAAUGUACACAUUCAAUACAUCGAGAGUUGAUGUUUAUGAUUUUUUUUUAAGGGUUUAUGUGUAUGCAUGAUCAUUCUUUAAGGUCCAAUGUAUUAUUAAGCUGUAUAAUAAAAAUAGAAAACAAAACAAAAAGAAAAGAAAAAUUUGUGUUGAGUCGGUGAGAGAGAAUUGGGGAAAGGACAUAUAAGUUUUAGGGUUAUGUGUUUAUACAGAGGAUUCAAUCACAGGGCAAAACAAUUGAUUUCAAUAUUUUCACAUUCAAAUUCAUGUGUGCUUGACUAUAUAUGUAUAUACGUGUAUCUAUAUAUGUGGAUUGUCAUGUUGUUUGUGGGCUUGUCCUGGCUGCUGAUGAUGGAGGUGUUGGUAGCAGUCGCCGGAGGUGCGAUUAUGGCGGAGACUGGGGUUGAGACGACGUUGUGAUAGAAGGGCGAGAUGAAGUAACACGGGGCGGGGGAGUUGUGGUUGGCAGCAAGUGGUGGUGUAUUGGCGAUGGGUGUGAUUCCGGCGAGCACUUCACCCCUUGCAUCUCUUAUUCCGGAUCAGUGGGUAUUCCGGAUCAAUGGAUAGGAAUUGAGAUGAUCGCCUGUAUAAGCUGCGCAUAAGAGUAAUGCUAGGUGAGAUUGCCAGGGGUUUAAGUUUCAGCUUGAUGUUCAGGUAGUGCAUCCAGAGAGAUGUCCACGAGAAUAGUAUUGAUUAGAAUUGUUUAACCUCUGUAGAGUUGUAUAGUGCAUUAAUUUAUUUGGUUUCCAGCUAUUCUUCUAAUCGAAGUCUACCUGGUAAUGUAGUUUAAGUUGUAAUAAGAUAUGAUAGUUCUGAUUUCAAUGCUAUAUAACUUAUAAGCGAUCCUGUUUUUAGGGGGUCAAGGUGAUUUUGGUUUAAA